UACGAGUGCCUCGAGCGUUAUCCGGAAUCAUUGGGCGUCAAGGGUGUGUAGGCGGUCGUGUUAGUCUCGCGUCAAAUCUUUCGGCCCAACCGAGAGCCUGCGCGGGAAACGGCAUGACUAAGAGGAUGGAAGGGGUCUCUGGAACUCAUGGUGUAGCGGUGAAAUGCGUUGAUAUCAUGGGGAACACCGAAAGCGAAGGCAGAGACUGGUCCACUCCUGACGCUGAAACACGAAAGCGUGGGUCGCGAAUGGG
rnacentral:rRNA from 1 species